rnacentral:lncRNA from 1 species
UCAAGGGAAAGAUUUACAGUUAAUCCUCAAAAUGGACAGAGGCAAGACUUCAUCAGCAAAAAUUAUUUUGAUUUCAACUUAAUACGUUGAUAUUAAAUCUUUAAUACAAAUCCAUUAAGAUGAUUGUUUGAUUAAGUCAUUUUUGAUGCAAUCAAAAUCUCGAUGAAAUGCUUAAAUCUGCAUAGUCUUUCCCUACCACAGAUCUAACCACUGCAUCAAGCAUCUCCCAGAUAAAUGACAUUAAUUAAAUAACACAAGCUUAAGGAACAGAAUUCAAAUGAAUGAAAAACUAUUGAAAUGAGUGAGUUACAUAUUAUAGUUUGUUUGAGGCCUCACAUAACAGUUUACCUCACCUUUCCUCCUUGUACUCUACAAUGAUCCUCAAUUUUAAUUCCCUCACUAACGAAACUGAGAUUUUCUCCUCUGGCUUCAAGAGGAGGUGACAGAAAGCAAUUUUAAAGUGUAUAUUAAAAAUGUAUUGUUUCUUUUGUGGUAUCACUCAAGGUAGAAGAGUUUUAUGACAUCAAAAUGUACACUGUCUCUUGGCCAUGAGCUGGAGAGGAGAAGGAUGAGUGGUAAGACUUCACUGGAGAGGAGAAGGAUGAGUGGUAAGACUUCACUGGAGAGGAGAAGGAUGAGUGGUAAGACUUCACUGGAGAGGAGAAGGAUGAGUGGUAAAACUUCACUGGAGAGGAGAAGGAUGAGUGGUAAGACUUCACUGGAGAGGAGAAGGAUGAGUGGUAAGACUUCACUGGAGAGGAGAAGGAUGAGUUGUAAGACUUCACUGGAGAGGAGAAGGAUGAGUGGUAAGACUUCACUGGAGAGGAGAAGGAUGAGUGGUAAGACUUCACUGGAGAGGAGAAGGAUGAGUGGUAAGACUUCACUGGAGAGGAGAAGGAUGAGUGGUAAGACUUCACUGGAGAGGAGAAGGAUGAGUGGUAAGACUUCACUGGAGAGGAGAAGGAUGAGUACACAUUGCUUGUCUUUUCUCCUUUAUCUUUAUAGAACCUCUUCCUAGGUGCUAACUAGCCCGGAUGCCUGUCAGUUUGCCAGGCAUUGGCUGGUCCUUUGUCACUGUCCUGCCAAACCGGAGUAAGCUGGUUGUGUAUGUAUGAGAGGAUAAACACAGCACUUCUCUCUGGUCAGGGUGCCAGUCUUCCAGUCUGUCUCAGUCUGUUCUAGCUAGCUGUUUGGCAUGCAGGGCUGGCUGACUGUUCAAAUAGACUGAAGGCUAGAAAAUGUUUAUUAGUCACAAUUUGAGGGGGUUUAGAAAUGUUAACAUGCAGAGCGCUGCUGGGACAUAGGCCAAUCGAGGGAGACAGGGUAUUUACAUAAGAGGCAGGCUAAGGUGUGUGGGGGUAAGGAGGGGGUGGGUGGGGUGAGGAGUGUAGGGAGUGAUUAGUGACAGACAGGUGCAGGAUGGGUAUGUUCCAAAGUGGUUGGGAUGAGGUACAUGGGGAAAGUGUAAGGGGGUUUGAGUGAGGUGUGUUGAGGUGUUCGUACAUAGGGGGAGUCAGUGCAGUGUGUGUUGCAGCUAACUGCAGUCUUGAUGAUUUGAAUGAUAAAUAUGGGCAUUAGAUAACAUUAGGUAACAUUAGGUAACAUUAGGUAACAUUAAGUAACAUUAGAUAACAUUAGAUAACAUUAGGUAACAUUAGAUAACAUUAGGUAACAUUAGGUAACAUUAGGUAACAUUAGAUAACAUUAGGUAACAUUAGAUAACAUUAGAUAACAUUAGAUAACAUUAGAAAACAUUAGGUAACAUUAGGUAACAUUAGGUAACAUUAGGUAACAUUAGAUAACAUUAGGUAACAUUAGAUAACAUUAGAUAACAUUAG